UACGUAGGGUGCAAGCGUUGUCCGGAAUUAUUGGGCGUAAAGAGCUCGUAGGCGGUUUGUCGCGUCUGCUGUGAAAUCCCGAGGCUCAACCUCGGGCCUGCAGUGGGUACGGGCAGACUAGAGUGCGGUAGGGGAGACUGGAAUUCCUGGUGUAGCGGUGGAAUGCGCAGAUAUCAGGAGGAACACCGGUGGCGAAGGCGGGUCUCUGGGCCGUUACUGACGCUGAGGAGCGAAAGCGUGGGGAGCGAACAGG
rnacentral:rRNA from 1 species